rnacentral:rRNA from 1 species
CCAGACUCCUACGGGAGGCAGCAGUGGGGAAUAUUGCACAAUGGGCGCAAGCCUGAUGCAGCGACGCCGCGUGAGGGAUGGAGGCCUUCGGGUUGUAAACCUCUUUUGUUUGGGAGCAAGCCUUCGGGUGAGUGUACCUUUCGAAUAAGCGCCGGCUAACUACGUGCCAGCAGCCGCGGUAAUACGUAGGGCGCAAGCGUUAUCCGGAUUUAUUGGGCGUAAAGGGCUCGUAGGCGGCUCGUCGCGUCCGGUGUGAAAGUCCAUCGCUUAACGGUGGAUCUGCGCCGGGUACGGGCGGGCUGGAGUGCGGUAGGGGAGACUGGAAUUCCCGGUGUAACGGUGGAAUGUGUAGAUAUCGGGAAGAACACCGAUGGCGAAGGCAGGUCUCUGGGCCGUCACUGACGCUGAGGAGCGAAAGCGUGGGGAGCGAACAGGAUUAGAUACCCUGGUAGUCCACGCCGUAAACGGUGGACGCUGGAUGUGGGGCACGUUCCACGUGUUCCGUGUCGGAGCUAACGCGUUAAGCGUCCCGCCUGGGGAGUACGGCCGCAAGGCUAAAACUCAAAGAAAUUGACGGGGGCCCGCACAAGCGGCGGAGCAUGCGGAUUAAUUCGAUGCAACGCGAAGAACCUUACCAAGGCUUGACAUAUACUGGACCGCAUCAGAGAUGGUGUUUCCCUUCGGGGCUGGUAUACAGGUGGUGCAUGGUUGUCGUCAGCUCGUGUCGUGAGAUGUUGGGUUAAGUCCCGCAACGAGCGCAACCCU